UACGUAGGGGGCAAGCGUUGUCCGGAUUCAUUGGGCGUAAAGAGCGUGUAGGCGGCCAGGUAGGUCGGUUGUGAAAACUGGAGGCUCAACCUUCAGAGGUCGACCGAAACCAUCUGGCUAGAGUCCGGGAGAGGAGAGUGGAAUUCCGUGGUGUAGCGGUGAAAUGCGCAGAUAUCAGGAAGAACACCCGUGGCGAAAGCGGCUCUCUGGAACGGUACUGACGCUGAGACGCGAAAGCGUGGGGAGCGAACAGGGAUU
rnacentral:rRNA from 1 species